rnacentral:lncRNA from 1 species
ACCCUACCAUUCAUUGGGUUUUCUUAAUAAUUUAUUCCUCAGUAUCUCUAAAAUUAUCUUGACCAUUAAUCAUUCAUUGAUUAGGAUGCCUAAUUGACUCUUAAUCAAAAUAAAAUUUAGAUACACAAAACUAAUUAUUUUUGACCAUACUCGAGGAUUUGAUUAAUUUUCUUCCCCCCAACUUAAUCUACAUUGUCCUCAAUGGAGUAGGAAAAUAAAGAAAAUAAAAGGAGAGAGUGCACCUGGGAUAAUUUUGCUUCGGAAGUUGAAGAUAGCUUCAUUAAUUAAUAGGCUCUUGUUCUAAAUU